UACGAAGGGAGCAAGCGUUGCUCGGAUUUAUUGGGCGUAAAGGGUGUGUAGGUGGCUUCGUAAGUUAGAUGUGAAAGCCCUGGGCUCAACCCGGGAAUUGCAUUUAAGACUGCGUCGCUUGAAGAUCAAAGAGGUAAGCAGAAUUCCCAGUGUAGAGGUGAAAUUCGUAGAUAUUGGGAAGAAUACCGAUGGCGUAGGCAGCUUACUGGUUGAUACUUGACACUGAGGGCACGAAAAGCGUGGGGGAGCAAACAGG
rnacentral:rRNA from 1 species